rnacentral:rRNA from 1 species
UACGUAGGGUCCAAGCGUUAUCCGGAAUCACUGGGCGUAAAGCGUGCGUAGGCGGGAGUCUAAGUGAGAAAUUAAAUCGUGUGGCUCAACCAUAUCGAUGUUUCUCAUACUGGGCACCUAGAGGAAGGCAGAGGCAAGUGGAAUUAGUAGUGUAGCAGUGAAAUGCGUAGAGAUUACUAGGAACACCAACGGCGAAAGCACUCUGCUGGGCCGACACUGACACUGAGAGACGAAAGCUAGGGGAGCGAAUGGG